rnacentral:rRNA from 1 species
GAUGAACGCUAGCGGCAGGCUUAAUACAUGCAAGUCGAGGGGCAGCAUGACUGUAGCAAUACAGUUGAUGGCGACCGGCAAACGGGUGCGGAACACGUACAGAACCUUCCUUCGAGCGGGGAAUAGCCCAGAGAAAUUUGGAUUAAUACCCCAUAGUACAACGGAGUGGCAUCACUUUGUUGUUAAAGAUUUAUCACUUGAAGAUGGCUGUGCGGCUGAUUAGGUAGUUGGCGGGGUAACGGCCCACCAAGCCUGCGAUCAGUAACUGGUGUGAGAGCACGACCAGUCACACGGGCACUGAGACACGGGCCCGACUCCUACGGGAGGCAGCAGUAAGGAAUAUUGGUCAAUGGACGAAAGUCUGAACCAGCCAUGCCGCGUGGAGGAUGAAGGCUUUAGGGUUGUAAACUCCUUUUGUGGGGGAAAAGAAUGGAUGGUACCCCAAGAAUAAGUCACGGCUAACUACGUGCCAGCAGCCGCGGUAAAGAG